rnacentral:rRNA from 1 species
GGUAGUCCACGCCGUAAACGAUGAUAACUAGCUGUCCGGGGACUUGGUCUUUGGGUGGCGCAGCUAACGCAUUAAGUUAUCCGCCUGGGGAGUACGGCCGCAAGGUUAAAACUCAAAUGAAUUGACGGGGGCCUGCACAAGCGGUGGAGCAUGUGGUUUAAUUCGAUGAUACGCGAGGAACCUUACCAAGACUUAAAUGGGAAUUGAUCGGUUUAGAAAUAGACCUUCCUUCGGGCAAUUUUCAAGGUGCUGCAUGGUUGUCGUCAGCUCGUGCCGUGAGGUGUUAGGUUAAGUCCUGCAACGAGCGCAACCCCUGUCACUAGUUGCCAUCAUUCAGUUGGGGACUCUAGUGAGACUGCCUACGCAAGUAGAGAGGAAGGUGGGGAUGACGUCAAAUCAUCACGGCCCUUACGUCUUGGGCCACACACGUAAUACAAUGGCCGGUACAGAGGGCAGCUACCAGGUGACUGGAUGCAAAUCUCGAAAGCCGGUCUCAGUUCGGAUUGGAGUCUGCAACUCGACUCUAUGAAGCUGGAAUCGCUAGUAAUCGCGCAUCAGCCAUGGCGCGGUGAAUACGUUCCCGGGCCUUGUACACACCGCCCGUCAAGCCAUGGAAGUCUGGGGUACCUGAAGUCGGUGACCGUAACAGGAGCUGCCUAGGGUAAAACAGGUAACUAGGGCUAAGUCGUAACAAGGUAACC